rnacentral:rRNA from 1 species
AAUCAACGCUGGCGGCGUGCCUCAGACAUGCAAGUCGAACGAUUAAAGCUCUCUUCGGAGAGUGCAUAAAGUGGCGCACGGGUGAGUAACACGUAAGUAAUCUAACCUUCGAGUGGGGAAUAACGUCCGGAAACGGACGCUAAUACCGCAUAAUGCAGCGGCAUCGCAAGAUGACAGUUGUUAAAGAUUUAUCGCUUGAAGAGGAGCUUGCGGCAGAUAGCUAGUUGGUAAGGUAAUGGCUUACCAAGGCUACGAUCUGUAACCGGUCUAAGAGGACGGUCGGUCACACUGACACUGAAUAACGGGUCAGACUCCUAC